rnacentral:rRNA from 1 species
AACGAACGCUGGCGGCAGGCCUAACACAUGCAAGUCGAACGAACUGAGACCUUCGGGUCUCUAUGUUAGUGGCGCACGGGUGAGUAACGCGUGGGAACGUACCCUUUAGUACGGAAUAACGCAGGGAAACUUGCGCUAAUACCGUAUACGCCCUUCGGGGGAAAGAUUUAUCGCUAAAGGAUCGGCCCGCGUCUGAUUAGGUAGUUGGUGAGGUAACGGCUCACCAAGCCGACGAUCAGUAGCUGGUCUGAGAGGAUGAUCAGCCACACUGGGACUGAGACACGGCCCAGACUCCUACGGGAGGCAGCAGUGGGGAAUAUUGGACAAUGGGCGAAAGCCUGAUCCAGCCAUGCCGCGUGAGUGAAGAAGGCCUUCGGGUUGUAAAGCUCUUUCGACGGGGACGAUGA